AACGAACGCUGGCGGCGUGCCUAACACAUGCAAGUCGAACGGGAAAACCCGCAAGGGUGAGUACAGUGGCGCACGGGUGCGUAACACGUGGGUAAUCUGCCCAGAAGCCCGGAAUAACUCCCCGAAAGGGGUGCUAAUGCCGGAUGAGACCACGGGGACUUCGGUUCCUGGGGGAAAAGGUGGCCUCUGUAUACAAGCUAUCACUUCUGGAUGAGCCCGCGGCCCAUCGGCUAGUUGGCGGGGUAAUGGCCCACCAAGGCUACGACGGGUAGCUGGUCUGAGAGGACGAUCAGCCACACUGGAACUGAGACACGGUCCAGACUCCUACGGGAGGCAGCAGUGGGGAAUCUUGCGCAAUGGGCGAAAGCCUGACGCAGCAACGCCGCGUGUGUGAUGAAGGUCUUCGGAUCGUAAAGCACUGUCGGGAGGGGCGAAUAAGGGCCGGGUGAACAAUCCGGUUCGACGACGGUACCUCCAGAGGAAGCACCGGCUAACUCUGUGCCAGCCGCCGCCGUAAAAC
rnacentral:rRNA from 1 species